UGCAGUGCUAUAUUCAGAAUAGUGCUGGUGAGAUGAAGAAUAAUUUCAUCAGAGCCUUUCUGAGUAGAAUAAGGCUUA
rnacentral:pre_miRNA from 1 species